GGGUCAGUUCUUGAAGCUUCUUUCUCUAAUGAUGGCUGCCUCUCUCACAGACACAGUCUUGAUGGUUUCUCAGCCUCAUUCAGCAGGAGUGCUGAAAGUGGAGAUGGUGACAAAUUCCAUCCACUCCACUUCCAAAAUAUUAGACAGUAUAGGUCUUGCUGACGUUGGAUUAGAUGGAAACAAACAGAAACUCAACCACUCCAGGGAGCUGGUUAUACUGAAUGGUAAAUUGUUGUUUGAAAAUGCUUCUCCAAUUGAAUGCAAGGAAGAGUUCAUUCUAGGCCCAUUAAUUCUCCUUUUUUUUUUUUGAGAAAUUGGAAAUUUUUGUUGAUACAUGGUAUAGAAGUUGUGACUGCAGACUGGGUACGUCUCAUGGAAGCCAAGAGAGGAACCAACUGAACGAGUUCCUUUUUGACUGUAUGAUAUAAGAGUGUUUGGGCUCGAAGUAUGGCCACUACUGUAAAACCAUCUUUACAAUUUGGAAGAAAAUGCAAUUAGGAA